rnacentral:snRNA from 1 species
AUGCUCGCUUCGGCAGCACAUACACUAAAAUUGGAACGAUACAGAGAAGAUUAGCAUGGCCUCCGCACAAGGAUGACACAUAAACUCACAGUCAAAUCUGAUUCAU